AACUACACGGCGCGCGGCGUGGGGGACGCGAGUCUCCCCGUCGCGCGCUGAAUCCCCGCCGGCGCGCUCCCUCGGGUCGCGUCGUUCGGGCUAACGAACCCCGGCGCGGAAUGCGCCAAGGAAAACUUAACGAAGCGUCCGCAUCCCCGCAGCCCGUCCGCGGAACCUGCGGGGGGACCGGUCGUCUAUCAUAAUGUCAAAACGACUCUCGGCAACGGAUAUCUCGGCUCUCGCAUCGAUGAAGAACGUAGCGAAAUGCGAUACUUGGUGUGAAUUGCAGAAUCCCGUGAACCAUCGAGUCUUUGAACGCAAGUUGCGCCCGAAGCCUUUAGGCCGAGGGCACGUCUGCCUGGGCGUCACGCAUCGCGUCGCCCCACCUCACCGCGCACGAACGUGCCGGCUAGUGGGGCGGAUAUUGGCCCCCCGUGCGCCUCGGCGUGUGGUCGGCCCAAAUGCGAUCCCUCGGCGACUCGUGUCGCGACUAGUGGUGGUUGAACCUCAAUCUCUCAAUCGUCGUGC
rnacentral:misc_RNA from 1 species